UCUUAGCGUAUUGUCAAUUUC
rnacentral:piRNA from 1 species